rnacentral:lncRNA from 1 species
GGAACAUCAGUUUGAGAGAAAAAUGCCUCCAUAAGCUGCAGCUGUAGGGCACUUUCUUAAUUAGUGAUUGAUGUGGGAGGGCCUAGCCCACAGUGGGUGUGGCCACCCUUGGGCUGGUGGUCCUGGGUUCUAUAACAAAGCAGGUUGAGCAAGCCACGAUGAGCAAGCCAGUAAGCAAACGCCUCCCUGGCCUCUGCAUCAGCUCCUGCCUCCAGGAUCCUGUCCUGCUUGAGUUCCUGUCCUGACUUCCUUCAGUGAUGGACUACAAUGAGGAAGUAUUCUUGGAGUGUACAUCAACUGGGCACUUAACGAGUCUACUCUGUUCAUCACCAGGAAAGCUUGCUGUCCUUUGGAAGGAAGAGUGUGCUUCAGAGCUGAGAGGACUCUCCUCCCAAACUCUCCUCCAUCUUCCUACUUAGAUUGGAGCUUGAGUGGCUGUUCUCAGGUGCAGGCAAGUUUCUCACAUCUCACCGGGUAGAAGUUUAUCCCGUAUUUUUGUAGAUCAAAGAAACAGAACAAGAAGGAUGAACUGAUACAUCCCAGGAAUCUGUGGGACACCUGCCUUUCCUGGGAGUCUUGCAUCAGAAUGCAUUUGCCAAGUGCCACAUCUCAUCUUACAAGCUCUUCCUGUGAACAGACUGGCCCUCUCUCCAUCUAGGGUUGGUGUUCUCUCCUUCAGGUCUAGGUGAUUCGAGGUCACUUCUGAAAGCCCAUUAUGGCUUCCAUCUCGUUUUACUGGAUUCUUGUUCUUGGAACCCAGCUGUCAUAUUUGAAGCCCCAGAAGCUUUCAGGGGUUCUGUGUAAGACUCAGUCACAGCACGGCUGUGCCUCAGACUGACAGCUAAUGGCAGCUUGCCCACCAUGCCAGUACAUCAUCUAGGAGGUCCAUUCUUCAGCUUCCAGUCAAACUGCUCCUCAUGAUAAUGAAGAAAUAAAGAUGAUGCAUUUCUGAAUGCUG